rnacentral:rRNA from 1 species
AUGCAGCUCACGAGUCCGUGCCGCCACACCAUGCCGCUCCUCGUCGCCGUCCUUGUCCUCGCGGCGGCGGCAGCGGCCGACGGCGCCCUCUGCGACAAGGCGGACAAGGCGGCCCUCCUGGCCGUCAAGUCCGCCCUGGGCAACCACCCGGACCUCUCCGGCUGGAACUCCACCGCGCCCUGCUGCGCCUGGCCGGGCAUCUCCUGCGACGCCGCCACCGGCCGGGUCACCGAGCUCACGGUCUUCGCGCUCAACAUCUCGGCGCCGGUCCCGGCCGCCAUCGCCAACCUCACCGCCCUGCAGACCGUCAACCUGGCCUACAACCGCCUCUACGGCCGCAUCCCGGCGUUCCUGGGCCCGCGCGCCCUCCCGGACCUCACCUUCCUCCGCCUCGACGGCAAUCUGCUCGACGGCCCCAUCCCGCCGACGGCCACCGUGCACGACCUCUCCGUCGUCGGCAACCGCCUGGCCGGCCCGCUCCCGGCCGCCUUCGCGGGCGCGGAGUUCGGCAGCGUGGACCUCGCCGACAACCAGCUCACCGGCGACGCGUCGGCGCUGUUCGGCGCCGGGAAGCGGGUGAACUCGGUGCGGCUGUCGCGCAACCGGUUCGCGUUCGACCUCGGCCGCGUCGAGCUGCCGGCGGCGCUGGACAUACUGGCCGUUGACCACAACAUGAUGUACGGCGGCAUCCCGGCGGCCGCGGCGGCGAGGAAGUGGCUGGCGUUCGACGUGAGCUACAACAGUCUGUGCGGGUCGAUCCCGCAGGGCCGGUACACGCACAGGUUCGGCCCCAAGCACUUCGCGCCCAACAAGUGCCUCUGCGGCCGCCCGCUCGCGCCCUGCAGCUAA